UACAUUUGAGAGUACACACUGCAGAAAAUCCUCACAAGUGUGAAAUUUGUUUUAAGCAGUUUAUAACAGCAGGUGCGUUGAAAGUACAUUUGAGAAAGCACACUGGAGAAAACCUCACAAGUGUGAAUUCUGCUUAAAGCAAUUUACUCAAGCAGGUCAUUUGAAAGGACAUUUGAGAGUGCACACUGGAGAGAAACCUUAAGUGUGAAAUCUGUUUUAAGCAGUUUAUUACAGCAGGUCAUUUGAGAAGACAUGUGAGAGUGCACACUGGAGAAAAAUCUCACAAGUGUGAAAUCUGUUUUAAGCAGUUUAGUGAAGCAGGUCAUUUGAAAGGACAUUUGAGAGUACUCACUGGAGAAAACCUCACAAGUGUGAAAUUUGUUUCAAGCAGUUUAUUAAAACAGAUAAUUUGAAACAACAUUUGAGAGUGCACACUGGAGAGAAACCUCACAAGUGUGAAAUCUGUUUUCAGCAGUUUAGUCAUGCAAUUAGUUUGAAAAACCAUUUGACAGUACACACUGGAGAAAAACCUUAUAAGUGUCAAAUCUGUUUUAAGCGGUUUAGUCAAGCAGGUCAUUUGAAAGGACAUUUGAGUGUACAUAGUGGAGAAAAACCUCACAAGUGUGUAAUCUGUUUUAAGCAGUUUAGUGCUGCAAGUAAUUUAAAAACACAUUUGAGAGUGCACUCUGGAGAAAAACCUUACAAGUGUAAAAUGUGUUUUAAGCAGUCUGGUGAUGCAAGUUAUUUAAAAACACAUUUAAGAGUGCACAAUGGAGAAAAACAUCACAAGUGUGAAAUCUGUUUUGAGCAGUUUAGUGCUGCAAAUAAUUUAGAAAUACAUUUGAGAGUGUGAAAUUAGUUUACUAUAGUAACUGAUUAAAAAAAUAAUUUCAGAUUAUUUGCAGAAGUCUUUACGGUUAGUUAGAAACGACUUUGAAUGUUUUAAAAAUAGUGUGGUAGUCAUUAGUGGAAACUGGAUUAUUUUUUAAUUUCAGAAUAUAUGUUCAAAAAAUA
rnacentral:lncRNA from 1 species